rnacentral:rRNA from 1 species
AAUAUUCGACAAUGGGGGCAACCCUAAUCCAGCCAUGCCGCGUGUGUGAUGAAGGUAAUCGGAUUGUAAAGCACUUUAAGUUGGGAGGAAGGGCUUUACGUUAUCACCUCAAAGUGUUUACGUUACCACUAGAAUAAGCACCGCCUAACUACGUGCCAGCAGCCGCGGUAAUACAGAGGGUGCAAGCGUUAAUCGGAAUUACUGGGUGUAACGCGCGCGUAGGUGGUUCAGUAAGAUGGGUGUGAAAUCCCCGGGCUUAACCUGGGAACUGCUUUCAUAACUGCUGAGCUAGAGUACGGUAGAGGGUAGUGGAAUUUCCUGUGUAGCGGUGAAAUGCGUAGAUAUAGGAAGGAACACCAGUGGCGAAGGCGACUACCUGGACUGAUACUGACACUGAGGUGCGAAAGCGUGGGGAGCAAAAA